rnacentral:rRNA from 1 species
GUGGGGAAUAUUGGGCAAUGGGGGCAACCCUGAUCCAGCAAUGCCGCGUGCAGGAAGAAGGCCUUCGGGUUGUAAACUGCUUUUGUACGGAACGAAACGGUCCUGGUUAAUACCUGGGGCUAAUGACGGUACCGUAAGAAUAAGCACCGGCUAACUACGUGCCAGCAGCCGCGGUAAUACGUAGGGUGCAAGCGUUAAUCGGAAUUACUGGGCGUAAAGCGUGCGCAGGCGGUUUUGUAAGACAGGCGUGAAAUCCCCGGGCUCAACCUGGGAAUGGCGCUUGUGACUGCAAGGCUGGAGUGCGGCAGAGGGGGAUGGAAUUCCGCGUGUAGCAGUGAAAUGCGUAGAUAUGCGGAGGAACACCGAUGGCGAAGGCAAUCCCCUGGGCCUGCACUGACGCUCAUGCACGAAAGCGUGGGGAGCAAACAGGAUUAGAAACCCCAGUAGUCC